AGUGAACGCUGGCGGUAGGCCUAACACAUGCAAGUCGAACGGCAGCACAGUAAGAGCUUGCUCUUACGGGUGGCGAGUGGCGGACGGGUGAGGAGUACAUCGGAAUCUACUUUUUCGUGGGGGAUAACGUAGGGAAACUUACGCUAAUACCGCAUACGACCUACGGGUGAAAGCAGGGGAUCUUCGGACCUUGCGCGAUUGAAUGAGCCGAUGUCGGAUUAGCUAGUUGGCGGGGUAAAGGCCCACCAAGGCGACGAUCCGUAGCUGGUCUGAGAGGAUGAUCAGCCACACUGGAACUGAGACACGGUCCAGACUCCUACGGGAGGCAGCAGUGGGGAAUAUUGGACAAUGGGCGCAAGCCUGAUCCAGCCAUACCGCGUGGGUGAAGAAGGCCUUCGGGUUGUAAAGCCCUUUUGUUGGGGAAGAAAAGCAGCAGGUUAAUACCCCGCUGUUCUGACGGUACCCAAAGAAUAAGCACCGGCUAACUUCGUG
rnacentral:rRNA from 1 species